rnacentral:rRNA from 1 species
AGAGGUCCCAAGCGUUGUUCGGAUUCACUGGGCGUAAAGGGUGCGUAGGUGGCGGGGUAAGUCUGAUGUGAAAUCUCCGAGCUUAACUCGGAAACUGCAUCGGAUACUGCUUUGCUCGAGGGUUGGAGGGGGGACUGGAAUACUUGGUGUAGCAGUGAAAUGCGUAGAUAUCAAGUGGAACACCAGUGGCGAAGGCGAGUCCCUGGACAACUCCUGACACUGAGGCACGAAAGCUAGGGGAGCAAACAGGAUUAGAUACCCUGGUAGUCCUAGCUGUAAACGGUGCACGUUUGCUGUAAGUGGAAUCGACCCCACUUGUGGCGUAGCCAACGCGAUAAACGUGCCGCCUGGGAAGUACGGUCGCAAGAUUA